rnacentral:rRNA from 1 species
CCCUUAGAUGUUCUGGGCCGCACGCGUGCUACACUGAGUGGAUCAGCGGGUCAGGUUGCGCGAAAGCGUUUCCUAAUCUUUAAGUCCGCUCGUGAUGGGGAUUGACGGUUGCAAUUUUCUGUCAUGAACGAGGAAUACCUUGUAAGCGCGGGUCAUCAUCCCGCGCUGAAUACGUCCCUGCCCUUUGUACACACCGCCCGUCGCUCCUACCGAUUGAGUGGUCCGGUGAGGCUUUGGGAUCUGAGCGGAAAGAGCGUUUCGCUGUUUCUGCUCGGAAAACUCAGUCGAACCUUAUCAUUUAGAGGAAGGAGAAGUCGUAACA